AACAAGCUGCGUUGUACGUAUUGAUAAUAAAGUUUUAACCUUUAAGCUGUAAUAGGGAGUUUUAUAUAGAAACAGGAAUGACAAGCCUCUGUCUAUAGGACAAGGAGGACAUGCAAGAAUGUUUCUGCGAACACCCACUUUGAGGAGUGGUGGUUUAAAACUUUCUUAUAUUCAUGUACGGCAAAGGCGGCUGUAC
rnacentral:other from 1 species